rnacentral:rRNA from 1 species
UGGCGGACGGGUGAGUAACGCGUGGGGAACCUGCCCCAUUCCGGGGGAUACCGAGUUGGAACGACUGUUAAUACCGCAUAAGCGCACGGGAGCGCAUGAUCCUGGUGUGAAAAAACUCCGGUGGAAUGGGAUGGCCCCCGCGUCUGAUUAGCCAGUUGGUGAGGUAACGGCCCACCCAAAGCGACGAUCAGUAGCCGGCCUGAGAGGGCGACCGGCCACAUUGGGACUGAGACACGGCCCAAACUCCCCACGGGAGGCAGCAGUGGGGAAUAUUGCACAAUGGAGGAAACUCUGGUGCAGCCGACGCCGCGUGAGUGAAGGAGUAUUUCGGUAUGUAAAGCUCUAUCGGCAGGGAAGAAGAUGACGGUACCUGCAGAAGAAGCCCCGGCUAACUACGUGCCAGCCGCUGC